UACGGAGGAUCCGAGCGUUAUCCGGAUUUAUUGGGUUUAAAGGGUGCGUAGGCGGCCUGUUAAGUCAGGGGUGAAAGACGGUAGCUCAACUAUCGCAGUGCCCUUGAUACUGAUGGGCUUGAAUGUACUAGAGGUAGGCGGAAUGAUGACAAGUAGCGGUGAAAUGCAUAGAUAUGUCACAGAACACCAAUUGCGAAGGCAGCUUACUAUGGUAUUAUUGACGCUGAGGCACGAAAGCGUGGGGAUCAAACAGG
rnacentral:rRNA from 1 species